rnacentral:tRNA from 1 species
CAAGAAGUAGUCCCCCUUGUGUUCUCAGCUUUGGGUGCUGAUGGUGGGGAAUAGUUCCUUCUUCAAGGA